rnacentral:rRNA from 1 species
AUGAUGGCGCCACUAGUUCGACGUCUCUUCCUCGUGGCGCUGGCGCUUCUCCCCGCCUUCUCCGCCGCCGCCGAGCCGCGUUACACCGCCGUGUUCAGCUUUGGCGACUCGCUUGCCGACACCGGGAACGAGUUUGCGCUUACAGGCGGGGCCACCGGCAACACUCCCCCGUACGGCGACACCUUCUUCGGCGUCCCAACCGGCCGUGCGUCCGACGGCCGGCUCGUCCUCGACUUCGUAGUUGAGGCGCUGGGGUUGCCGCACCCGCGGCCGUAUUUCGCCGGCGAGACCAUGGCGGACUUCCAGCAGGGCGUGAACUUUGCGUACGGCAGGUCGACGGCUCUUGGCCCGGAGUUCUUCGAGAGCAAAGGGUUCACGCUGUUCAUGCCCGUCUCGCUCGAAAACCAGACCGAGUGGUUCAGGAAUGUUCUACAGCUAGCCGGCUCAGUAGAAGAGCAGAGGAAGCUGAUGGCCACGUCGCUGGUGAUGAUGGGAGAGAUGGGAAUCCACGACUAUCUCAUCUUCAUCACCGGAAAGCUCACCGAGGCCGAGAUCCGGACCUUCGUGCCCCACAUCGUCGGCGCCAUCCGUUCAGUCAUCACCGAGGUGAUCGAUGCGGGAGCGAAAACGGUGGUGGUCCGGGGGAUGAUACCGCUGGGCUGCCAGCCGCUCAUGCUCGCCCUCUUCGAGGGCACCGGCGCUGACUACAACCGGGCGACCGGCUGCCUGACGCGGCUCAACGACCUCGCCAGGAAGCACAACCACGCGCUCAUGGGCAUGAUCCUCGAACUCCGGCGCGCCUACCGCGGCACCGGCGUAUCCAUCCUCUACGCGGACCAGAUGGACCCCGUCAUCAAACUCGUCUUCGAGCCCAGCAAGUACGGGUUCGGGGACAAGCCCCUGGCGGCGUGCUGCGGAGGGAGCGGCACCUACAACUUCGACCCCACCUUCGCCACCCUCUGCGGCAUGCCCGGGGCGAACAAGUGCGCUGACCCGUCCAAGUACGUCUCGUGGGACGGGAUACACUUGACCGACGCCGCCAACCGGCAUGUCGCCGGAAAUGUGCUCAGGUCCAUCGUAUUGCGGCAAACGCCAUAUAUGGCACACCUCUCCUCCAGCUAG